GACGAACGCUGGCGGCGUGCCUAACACAUGCAAGUAGAACGCUGAAGAGAGGAGCUUACUCUUUUUGGAUGAGUCGCGAACGGGUGAGUAACGCGUAGGUAAUCUGCCUUGCAGCGGGGGAUAACUAGUGGAAACGAUAGCUAAUACCGUAUAACAACGUACGACACAUGUCAUUUAUUUGAAAGGGGCAAUUGCUCCAUUACAAGAUGGACCUGCGUUGUAUUAGCUAGUAGGUGAGGUAAUGGCGCACCUAGGCGGGGAUACAUAGCGGACCUGAGAGGACGAGCGGCCACACUGGGACUGUGACACGGCCCAGACGCCUACGGGAGGCAGCAGUAGGGAAUCGUCGGCAAUGAGGGCGACCCUGACCGCGCAGCGCGGCGUGAGUGAGGAGGAAUUUCGGGUCGUGGAGCUCUGUUGUCAGUCAAGAACGGGUGUGAGCGUGGAAAGUUCACACUGUGACGGUAGCUUGUCAAGAAGGAACGGCUAACUACGUG
rnacentral:rRNA from 1 species